UACGUAGGGGGCAAGCGUUGUCCGGAAUCACUGGGCGUAAAGCGCGCGCAGGCGGUCAUCUACGUCUGGGGUGAAAGCCCGGAGCUCAACUCCGGGAUUGCCUUGGAUACGGGAUGACUUGAGGAUCGGAGAGGCAAGGGGAAUUCCACGUGUAGCGGUGAAAUGCGUAGAGAUGUGGAGGAACACCUGUGGCGAAGGCGCCUUGCUGGCCGAUUUCUGACGCUGAGGCACGAAAGCUAGGGGAGCAAACAGG
rnacentral:rRNA from 1 species